AACCCAUGGUGAGGGCACCAUUUUAAAAGAUCCUUGUAUCUCUCCCAUGCAUCAUAAAGCAUUUCUACAUCCAUCUACACAAAAGAAGAGAUGUCAUUCCUCAACUU
rnacentral:snoRNA from 1 species